UCCCUCCAUACCAUGCAUCUCUUCCCUUUGGCUGAUCCUGAGGUGUAUCCCUUAGAAAUAAGCUGGUAAAUGAGUCUACUGCUAAGAUUUCAGCAUGUCCUGUGGCUGAGUUAAUCAGAGUUAUGACAGGAAGGUACCGGGCACACCAUCGCAAUGCUCCAUCAAUGCUAGUAUGUUGUGUUCUUUCCUUCAUAUCAAGUCAACUCAAGCUUGCUCUACUUACCUGGUGUACACAGUCUAAGAACUGUAAGAAGACUGGAGCAAAACCACUCCCCUGACAGUUGAGGGUCAAGCUGCUCCUCUGACUGAAUUUGUGACCAAAAGAGAGCCACUCUUUUUCAACCAACAUCUGGAAGCCUUCAAGUGUCCUAUAAAAGGGAUCACUGAGUAACUGAACCAGGGAUGUCACCUAGGGCAUAAGCAGGAUGGAUUGUCAUUAAUUUUAGUUCUGAAAAAGGCCUAUUACUAAGAUAAAAGCACUUCCUUCUGAUGAUAGCUAAUUCACAAAUUUACCUGGACAGCAAAUUUGUUCACUAACCAUUCCAGGAUGGCCAAUAAAAUUAAUUUUGUAAACUUGCCAGUAAAAA
rnacentral:lncRNA from 1 species